AUUGAACGCUGGCGGCAUGCCUUACACAUGCAAGUCGAACGGUAACAGGUCUUCGGAUGCUGACGAGUGGCGAACGGGUGAGUAAUACAUCGGAACGUGCCCGAUCGUGGGGGAUAACGAAGCGAAAGCUUUGCUAAUACCGCAUAAGAUCUACGGAUGAAAGCAGGGGACCGCAAGGCCUUGCGCGAACGGAGCGGCCGAUGGCAGAUUAGGUAGUUGGUGGGAUAAAAGCUUACCAAGCCGACGAUCUGUAGCUGGUCUGAGAGGACGACCAACCAACCUGAGACUGAGAGACGGCCCAGACUCCGACGGGAGGCAGCAGUGGGGAAUUUUGGACAAUGGGCGAAAGCCUGAUCCAGCCAUGCCGCGUGCAGGAUGAAGGCCUUCGGGUUGUAAACUGCUUUUGUACGGAACGAAAAGACUCUGGUUAAUACCUGGGGUCCAUGACGGUACCGUAAGAAUAAGCACCGGCUAACUACGUGCCAGCCGCCGCCGUAAUAC
rnacentral:rRNA from 1 species